UUUUAAGAUUAAAAGAUCGCAUCAGAAAAAAUCAGGCAUUAUAUUAUUAAAUUGAAAUUAUCUGUUACUUUUAGAGUUUUUCAAUCCAUCAUUUAUGCAAAGGUAAUAAUUAUAUCGUUAAAAUUUUCAAUUUUACUAAUCAUAUUAAAAUUUCAUUAAUUCAUAGAUUAAAGAUUGAUUUUCAUAGAUUAGAACAUACAUUUAUAUAUGAUAACACAUAUUCGUUAUCUUUGGAGAGAAUUAUUUUUUGUGUAUAUUCUUUUCACUCUUUCAAAUCAAUCUUUGUAUCACCUUUUGAAUCAACUUUCUUAUUUUAUUGACCAAAACCUUAACUCUAUACCAAUUGUUUGGAAAAUAACAAAAAAAACAAAUUUCUGCAAACAACAAAGUAUACUCUGAAAAAGAAAAAAAAAGAAAAAAUAAGAUUCAUCAAUUUUUUAUUCAACUUCUAAACUUUACAAAACAAAAUUACAACUUCUAAACUUUUUAAAAAUUAAAGAGAAAAUUGCAAACCCUUCAAACUGCGAUUUUCGAACAGAAAAAUUGAAAACUCUCUCUCAAUUACAAUUUUUGGGUGGAAAAAUAGCAAAUCCUCUCAACAAAAUAUUCUUUUACUGAAAAAUAGAAAACCCUCUCAACAAACUAUUUUUGAACGGAAAAAUAGAAAAUCCUCUCUAACACACAACUACUCAAAUCUCAAAUACACCCAAAAGAUUACAUUUUAUUGUUGUUUGGAAAACUCAAACUAACUAUCUCUAUUUAUAUUAAUAUUCCAAUUCUAUUUUCUUUAUACUAUAAGAUAUGAGACUUGGUAGAAUAUACUAUUGGACAUAACAAAUUCUCCCUCCAUCCAAAGUGUCACAUAUCUUCACUUUGUAAUCAACUUCAUCUUCAAAGCAUUUAAGAUCAUAACAUUUAUAAAAUUAUUACUCUUCAAUCUUUUUUUCUUCUUCCUCCCUUGAUCAUAAUUUUUGUUACUAUUUCUUUUUCACUUAAUCAAAAAAUUUGGUGACUUUUCCUUCUCCCCUUGAUCAGAAUCUUAACUCUGAUACCAAUUGUUGGGAAAUAACAAAAAAAAAUCUACGAAUGCGGAAGCAUAC
rnacentral:lncRNA from 1 species